rnacentral:rRNA from 1 species
UACGUAGGUGGCAAGCGUUGUCCGGAUUUACUGGGUGUAAAGGGCGUGUAGCCGGGCUGACAAGUCAGAUGUGAAAUCCGGGGGCUCAACCCCCGAACUGCAUUUGAAACUGUUGGUCUUGAGUAUCGGAGAGGCAGGCGGAAUUCCUAGUGUAGCGGUGAAAUGCGUAGAUAUUAGGAGGAACACCAGUGGCGAAGGCGGCCUGCUGGACGACAACUGACGGUGAGGCGCGAAAGCGUGGGGAGCAAACAGGAUUAGAAACCCGAGUAGUCCUCCUAAUGUGCCAGCAGCCGCGGUA